rnacentral:rRNA from 1 species
GUGCCAGCAGCCGCGGUAAUACAGAGGCUCCAAGCGUUAGGCGGAAUCACUGGGCUUAAAGCGUGCGUAGGCGGCCGACCAAGUGCCUUGUGAAAGCCCUCGGCUCAACCGAGGAAUAGCUGGGCAUACUGGUUGGCUUGAAUCAUCUAGGGGCAACUGGAACUGACGGUGGAGCGGUGAAAUGCGUAGAUAUCGUCAGGAACGCCGACGGUGAAAACAGGUUGCUGGGGAUGUAUUGACGCUGAUGCACGAAAGCCAGGGUAGCGAACGGGAUUAGAUACCCCUGUAGUCC